GCGGAUGGCCGGAUGACCGCGGCGCUCCAUAGCUCUGUUUCGGCAGACAGCUGGAGGGCCGAGGAAAGUCCGGACUCCAUGAAGCAACGGUGCCGGAUAACGUCCGGCGGGGGUAACCCCAGGGAAAGCGCCACAGAGAACAGACCGCCACGGUCUCGACCGCGGCAAGGGUGAAACGGUGGGGUAAGAGCCCACCGCGGGACUGGCAACAGGACCGGCACGGCAAGCCCCACCGGGAGCAACGCCGAAUAGGGAUCUCGCGCCCCUCAAGGGCAGGGGAGCUUCGCCCCGAGAGAUCCGGGUUGGCGGCUUGAGGCGGCGCGCGAGCGUUCGUCCAGAGGAAUGGUCAUCCAGGGGAGAAAUCCCCGGACAAAAUCCGGCUUACAGGCUGUCCGCGCAA
rnacentral:RNase_P_RNA from 2 species